GGGUGUAUAGCUCAGUGGUAGAGUGUGUGCUUAGCAUGCACCAGGUCCUGGGUUCAAUCCCCAGGACGUCCA
rnacentral:tRNA from 1 species